AAAAUUUUGUUGAUAUGAAUUGAGGAGAGUAUCAUCAUAAUCUAAUUUAUAUGAGGGAUUUUAUUUGAGCACAUACUCUCUACGUUCAUAUUACUUUAAAAAAAAAUUGAACAAUAUUACUUUUAAUUAAACUAUUAAUAUCUUUUUAAAUUCAAAUUUACUACUUAAAAUUGUCCUCGUACACCUAAUUUAAUAUGUAUUUAACUUUACAUCCAUUUAAAAAUAAAAAGCCAAAAUCAGUUGAAAAGGACUCUGAUUCUGCAACCAUUUCCAUAUCUAAUUUUAAAAUGUGCGAACUUGCUACUCCAAUAUUUCCCAUAAAAGAAGUGAACACGCAGGAUGGUGAUCCUCUUCUCUAUUCUCGCUAAAGUCGAAAAUGUAGGCACAAUAAUAUACAUUGUUCUCAUCUGUAUAAGAAGAAUGAUAUUCAUUAUCAUCACUGUCCCGAUCUUCUUCUUCUUUACCAAAAAAAAUCUUCUUCUUUUUUAUCAAAACCCAACUUCAAUUCCACUUCAUCACCAUCUCCAAAGCUUAUUUUGUGCGAGCUAUAUCAACGUUUCCACACUCACUGUCACCAUUUUGGACCAAGGCGUAUACCAUGCCACGCUUAAACAAUACAUCAAUUUGACCAUGGUCAAUCUUUAAUCAAUUUGGAAGAGAUUCCAACUUUUUACUCUCGGUCUGCACAAACCCAAUUCCCUAGAAUGAAACACUGCCGCCAGACGUUAUGAUAUAUUUGAACUAGAUACUACUAUUUUCACAGGAAGCAAUUUCACAGGAAGCAAUAAACGAGCUUUAGAUAAAAAUUGAGCGAUGGUAGGUUUGAUUUUGGGGGUAAGUAUAAUAUUUUUAGUUUUACUGUUAAAUUUAUUUUGUACUUGAUUGUAAAUAUGCAAUAAGAAAAAAAGAUAAAUUUUAAGUUUGACGUUAUAUGAAUUCAAAUAAUUUUUUUUCUUUAUUUAAGUUGGUGCUUUCAAUCUCGAUGGGGCCACCAUCUUGCUCACGGAAGCCAUUGUUUUAAGGAAAGGUCUUUCUUUUGCCAGGUGCAAAGGUGUGAGAAAGCUUGUGGUGGAGGGGGAUUCCAAACUCAUCAUUCAGGUGGUGCAGUCAUAGUGGAAACCCCUUUGGCAUCUUAUACCGAUCAUCCUAUUUAUUGUAAUAAUAAGAUUGUGUAAAUCCUAGGAAAUUCUUACGAGAUUCUGUCAUAUCUAUUAGAUAGUAUAUUGUUUAAGUUGUAAUACCUAAAGGGUAAGGAAUUUACUUUUUUUACUACUUUAAAUUAAAUAAAUUUACAAUAGGGUGAAAAAUCACACCUCAAAAUUCAUCAAAUUUUCUCUAUGCUAGCCACACCGUCUCUCUCAAUUUCUCUCUAAUUAUUCACUUAAAAGGCCCUACAACAGAUCUUUCAUUUAUUAAUGGAGGCAAAUAAUACUAGAGUGCAAUACUACACGGAUAUCUUUUAUUGAUUAAAGUGCACCGACAUUGUAUCAGUUUUCUUGCGCUGGUAUAUGUUGCAUAUUUUAUAUUCUCAGUCCAUACCAAACCACCAAUCCAUUCCCAAUCAAGUUGAAUGCCAAGCUUCCUUGAGAGUCAAUAGACUCUGUGUCUGAAUAUAAACAAGAAAUAGGAUAGGGCACACAUGAAUGGAGCUCACAAGAAAAUUAGAUAGUCAAUGAACCUAAAAUGGGUAAAGACUAAACCUUGUUUGAAUGUGUUUGGUGGGCAAUUCCUUGUUACAUCGGGAAUUAGGUUGUCAUUCAGAAUCACUCGAUCCUCCAAUCAGUCACAGACAAAUAAUAUCCACGUGACUAGUAAAAUUGUCCAUGAGAUAAUCUCUAUUCGAGGGCAUUUGAAUAAUGUUAGUCCCAAAAUUGAACAAAACAUACUCCAGCCAUAAGAUUUUUGCAAAUAGGCGUAUUUUAAUCAGCCUCAAGUUAGGCUAAAAGGUCAAACUUUGAACACUUGUACUAUGCUUGGAUGAAGAAAUUUCAUAUUAUUAAGGAAUUUUAAAAUGAUGAAAUUUUAUUUUCUAGAAUUUGUAAAUUUUCUUGUUUGGUUAACCUAAAGAAACAAAGG
rnacentral:lncRNA from 1 species